rnacentral:lncRNA from 1 species
UUUACUCUAUAAUCUAUAGAAGUUAACACUACUGAAAAAUUGGUCUACCGGAACGGUUGGAAAACCGUUCCAACAGACUGCCAAACCGUUGCCAAAGGAAUAUUGGAACGGUUUAAAGACCGUCACAUCAGCCGGCGUACCCAUAGGUCUACUGGAACGGUUCUUGCAACGAUUUGCAUUGCCGUUACAAUAGACGCGUCUAUCGCAAGGGUUUUCCCUUUCUCUUUUGGAGCAGUUCAAAACCUUUACUGUAUUAUUUAUACAACCGUUUUUAAUCGUUACCAUAUUAUUUAACAACACUUAUGUAAGCUUUUGCUACGGUUAUGUUGGAUAUGACAACGGUUUCUUUAGGCUAGCGUAACGGUUAUACUUGUAAUUGGAAGAGUCCAUGGAGCCUAUUGCAUCAGUUUACAUUUGUCUACUGGAACGCCAUUUGUGUCCUAU